rnacentral:ncRNA from 1 species
GCGCGUUUGGGAAGCUUUGAUCUCUCGACGUACUUCGCGGUCACCUUUUGUCGGGGGGGAGCUAGCGGUGAGACCGGCCCUUAUCAGG